GACGAACGCUGGCGGCGUGCUUAACACAUGCAAGUCGAACGGAAAGGCCCUGCUUUUGUGGGGUGCUCGAGUGGCGAACGGGUGAGUAACACGUGCGUAACCUGCCCUUGCCUUUGGGAUAACUUCAGGAAACUGGGGCUAAUACCGGAUAGGAGCUCCUGCUGCAUGGUGGGUGUUGGAAAGUUUCGGCGGUUGGGGAUGGACUCGCGGCUUAUCAGCUUGUUGGUGGGGUAGUGGCUUACCAAGGCUUUGACGGGUAGCCGGCCUGAGAGGGUGACCGGCAACAUGGGGACUGAGAUACGGCCCAGACUCCUACGGGAGGCAGCAGUGGGGAAUAUUGCACAAUGGGCGGAAGCCGGAUGCAGCAACGCCGCGUGCGGGAUGACGGCCUUCGGGUUGUAAACCGCUUUCGCCUGUGACGAAGCGUGAGUGAAGGUAAUGGGUAAAGAAGCACCGGCUAACUACGUG
rnacentral:rRNA from 1 species